AUGGCUGCAGAUCCACUAAAGCUCCUCCCACUGCCGACACCCAACCCCACCCAACCGGCGACCGUCUCCCCCAACCCCAUCACCACCGUGACCUCCCUCCCUCACUCCCUAGCUCUCCCUCCCUUAGGUCCGUCCGACCCAUGGGCGGAUGAGGGCCGAAGCCCUAGCCCUUCACCCACCCACCAAUGGAUGGAUGGGGACGGGGCAAUGAUGGCGCGGUGGCGGAGACCUCCAUGGCGAACGCGGGCCGGCAGCCGGCCAUCUCCGCCAAGCCCGACCUGCUGGCGGCUCUGCUCACGGGUCGGGCCCCGCCGGCGGAGGAAGGAGAGCACAGCCGCCGCUUGUACAUCGGACGAUCCCGUCUACGAGUUCAUCACCUCCGACACCGUCUACAGCCCGCAGGUGUCGUGCUGGCGACCGGGACCGGUUCGGAGCGCUCGGAUCGAAGGUGGCCGAGCACUGAUAACUUUUGUGGGGGACCGGACGGUGGUGCAGAUGUACAAGUUCCUCAAGAAGCACGCUGCCGUCCCUUUCAACUCUGAUGCAGCCGCGGCUGGCUGUGCUUCUGCCUCGGCCGGCUGUGCUUCUGCCUCGGCUACAAACUGCCUAGGGGCCAGAGAGUUAGCCCAGUCCUGA
rnacentral:rRNA from 1 species